rnacentral:lncRNA from 1 species
UUCAAUGAAUUAAAACUGAGAUUAUACAUUGGGUUGGAGUUUUCUCAUAUUGAUUUAUCUUCUCAAAUUUUAUUAUUGCUUCUAAUUGAUUUCUAGUUUAAUUUGUUUUGAUUCCAAAUUUAAAAUCUCUCUAAUUUUAUUUGAAUUUUGUUAAAGAAAUAAAUCUUACCAAUCUCUAUGGAUUCGACCCUACUUGUCACUAUUUACAAGUUGUUUUUAUUUGAAGAAUAGGAACUUAUUUUUGUUGGAUUCGACACCCAUCACAAACACUAGAGAAAGACAAGUUGUGCAAGUUGUUGCUUCAAUGACAACGAGGACGAGCCGAACAACGAUGAGCAUCAAAAAUGUCGUAGAGCAUCAACGCCGUCGCAAAGAAUCAAUGUCAUCGCAAAGCAUCAAAGUUCUCGCGGAAAAUCAACAUGGACGCAGGAUUUUAGAGGAAGAAUAGAAGAAAAAUGGCACUUUUUGAAUACUUAGGAUUUAAUAAAGAAGAAAAAGGAAAUAGAUUUUGGGGAUUCAAUGGAAAUAGGGAAGAUAACUUCUUUUUUCCCUUCCUUUUAGUUUUUGUUUCUUUUAAUUAAUAAAAAUAUUACAUUUAAAAAAUUUAAUUAAAUAUUGAUGAAACACUCCUAAUGUCAGUUUAAUGGCAACUUUAUUAGCCAUGUCAGGGAUAAAUAAUGAAAGUUCAUUCUGUUUAGUUUUCAGUAAGAUAGAAGGACCUGAAUUACGAAUUUUGUAAAGUUUCAUAGCUCAUCUGCUCUUCGGCCUCAACAUUAAGGGUGAAAAUGCACCUUCUCCCUUGUAGAAUUUAUUGGAGAGGAAAUUUUUUUAUUUUUUUUCAUGUUGGUUAUAACAAAAC